GUAACCAAUAAGAUCAGGUUGUGGUGACGACAGUAGUAGGCCUGAUUGUAGCUCCCUCCAGUAACCAAUAAGAUCAGGUUGUGGUGACGACAGUGGUAGGCCUGAUUGUAGCUCCCUCCAGUAACCAAUAAGAUCAGGUUGUGGUGACGACAGUGGUAGGCCUGAUUGUAGCUCCCUCCAGUAACCAAUAAGAUCAGGUUGUGGUGACGACAGUGGUAGGCCUGAUUGUAGCUCCCUCCAGUAACCAAUAAGAUCAGGUUGUGGUGACGACAGUGGUAGGCCUGAUUGUAGCUCCCUCCAGUAACCAAUAAGAUCAGGUUGUGGUGACGACAGUGGUAGGCCUGAUUGUAGCUCCCUCCAGUAACCAAUAAGAUCAGGUUAUGGUGACGACAGUUGUAGGCCUGAUUGUAGCUCCCUCCAGUAACCAAUACCUCAUUGGCUGCUUAUUACAGAAGGGAGGAAAUCAAAAACACUCACACUUCACACUUCUUAUUCCUGGCAUGAAUUCACACUUCAUCCUUAAUUAUUAUAAUGUUACCCUCCUAACAUACACCUUUCAACCGUUAGGAACUACACCGAAGACAGGAAAAACCUAGCUAACACAGCGUGGGACUGCCUUCGCUCCAUAAGUGUGUUUCUACGAUAAU